UCCAUGGACCAUGGGCACUAUUCCUUGCAUAUAUGAUUUGGUGCUUGAGUCCAACCCCAAACGUUAUGAAGUAGUGGGAAACGAAAACAAGUUGAGAUAAUUGAUCUAUAAACACUUAUAAUAGAAGAAGAACCUACAGUUAUUUAUUGUAACUAGAGAUCCCCCGCCAAGAGUAAAUGUUGGGUUCAGUACAUACAACAUAGAAAGACUGAGAUCUUUGGCAGCACAACAUGUGGAUGUUCCAGAGGACAACUUCACACAAACUUUAAGCAUUUUCAAGAGAAGAAGGCAUCAUUUUACAGCCUCAUGUUAGCGAGACCAGAAGGCAAAUAAGUGUUUCUAGUGAUGAAGAAACCUAUAGAAUUUUAAGGCUUUGGACGCUUUGAUGCAUAUGAUUUUGAUGCAAGGACUAGGGAUAUAUAGGUAAUAGUCAUUAGAGACAUUAUAAUAGCAGAUUCACAAUAAACUUCUUAGCUUGUAGUAGGGUCACUACAUGUUGAGGAUGAUGAGAUUGCUGUGGAGAACAAAGAAGUAGCUGAAAACAAAAUGGAUGAUUGCUAUUCAGAAGACGAGUUCCAUGAUUUGCUUUCUUCUAAUGAUGAGAACAAAAUGAUGAAGAGGAUAAUGAAGUGAAGAAUAUGUAGGGGAUGAAAUCUUAUCACUAAUUUUGAAGAACCUAUGGGGUGUAAAUUCAAAAAUACAGAAGAUGUCAAGCAAUGUAUUAAACAACAUAGUAUCUUGGCUAAGUUUGACUUCAGAAUUGAAAAAAGUGAUCCGAAUCGGCUUGUGAUAUAAUGUAGUCCGGCUUGUCAUUGGUCUACUAGUCACCAAGAUGUCUGAUAGCUUUUUAUUUGAGAUUGUAGCCUUUCAUUUGAGAUUAGAAAAAACAGCUAUAAGAACACAUGUUCUGGGGUUAACAAGACAGGAAGCAAUGCUGUCUCGAUUAAAUGGCUAGCUCAAUUUAUCUUGCACGAUAUUAGAGAAAAUCCUAACAUUGCCCCCAAAGGACAUUACUAGAUCAGUGGUAAAAAGUUCAAAUUCACAAAUCCUUAUCAUAAAAUUUGGACAGCAAGAAAAGUUGCACUAGUGAUGAUUUAUGACAAUAUCAAGGAGAGCUCUAGCUUCAUUCCAUCUCUAAUGGCAGAAUUAAUUUGCAGAAACCGUAGAAGUUAUGUUGAAUAUGAGUUGGAACACACUCAUGCAUUCCAGAGAUUGUUCUUCUCUUAUAUAAAGUACAAUUGAAUUGUUCACAUAUAGUUGUAGGCCUAUCUUCGGCUUGAUGGCAACACCUUAGGAGUAAGGAUUUGGGUACAUUACUUGACAUUUGCAAUAGAUAGAAACAAUAGGUUAUAUCCUGUUGUAGAGGGUGAGAAAGAGAUCACGUGGCUAUAUUUUUUUUCCAGCCAAGACAAGCUCUUCGAUCGACAUGGGGCACAUCACUAUUAUAAGUGAUGAGGAGAAGGGUUUACAUGAGACAGUUAUACAAAUAUCUCUUCAUGUGGAACAUAGAGCUUGCAUGAGGCACUUGUUGAAAAAUAUUAAGAAGUAUCCAGAUGAUGUAUGUAAGAGAGAGAUUUGGGACGCUGCAAGAUCAUAUAAGAUAGUCAAAUUUGAGAGGGCAAUGUGUGAAUUGCAAGCUAUAUCUAAAGAUUGCGCAGCUGAACUUGUAGCUACCUGUAGUAAAAUAGGGUGCAAAUAGAGUGGAUCCACGUUUUCAUCGGUGGCAAGGAAUCACUAUACUGUUAACAACUUGAGUGCGAGCUUUAAUUCAUGGAUUUUAGAAGCACGCUCCCUUUCAGUUGUUGACUUAGUGGAUACAAUUAGGAUCAAAAUUAUGGAAAAAUUGAAUCUGAGAAGAAGAUUUGGAUCUAAGUGGAAAGGAGUAUUAGUACCUAAAGAGGAAAGAUAUGUGAGAGAUCUUAGUGAGAAUCUCAGAGGGUGGCAUGUGAGAAGAUAUGAUAAUCAAGUGGCGGUGGAGUUGAUGGAGAAAAGAGAAGUUUUGAAUAUGGAGUUAAAGACUUGCACUUGAAGAAAAGAUGGCAAGUAACUGGUUUAUUGUGCAUACAUGUGCUGAAGUUAUUGAAGGAAUAAAAAAAUGCUAGAUGGGCAGAUCACGUUGAUCCUUGUUAACACAUUACCAAUUUCAGACUUGCUUAUGAAACUAGAAUUGUAGCUAUGCCUUCUAAAGAAGAAUGACAAAAAGUUGUGUUGGGGUAUAAAGUAGGUCCUUCACAUGCUACUAGACCAAGGGGUGGACUGAAAAAACAAAGAGAAAAAAAAGCACAGGUGUCAAAAAGACAACACAAAUUUAAGAGAUGUGGUGGAUUUGGGCAUCACAAAAGCACCUAUAAGAUGUUUGUCACUGCUUCAAUGACAACUCAAGUCAAAUGUACAGACUGAAGUGGGCAGUGGUCAUGGCAAUUUUGUUUCAACCGGUAGCUCAGCUAAAACUACAGUCAGAGUGAGGCAGAGGGGUAUUAGACCUGGAGGAAGAGUGGGGAACAGAAGUGCAACUCAAAGUGUUUCUUUUGGAUGUAGAAACUACCAACCAACUCAAAGAUAGUGUGAGUUAGCCAAGCCGAUGCAACGAGUUCAUGACACCAACAGGCUUCCACAGGUUACUGCUGCUUGUCCAUUCGCUAGAGCAAGGAGGACAGGAGUACUACUUGAGGGGGAAAAAAUUCCAAAUAUUCCAACAUGUUUGGAGGCCAUGAAUUAUCGUGUCGUGGUUUGGAUUGAUUGUUACUUUGUCUCCUAAUAGUCGUGUUUGAUGACAAUAUACUAUUUUGGAUAGUUUGGAUGUGUACUACUUAUUUUGGGUGGUUUGCUUUUGAACUAAUUUCGAUGAUGUUUGCUACUUAAUGAAUGUUAAGUUACGAAAAAUUGGAUUGUAUAC